rnacentral:rRNA from 1 species
GAAGGCCUUCGGGUUGUAAAGCUCUUUUGUCAGGGAAGAAACGGUGGGAGCUAAUAUCUCCUGCUAAUGACGGUACCUGAAGAAUAAGCACCGGCUAACUACGUGCCAGCAGCCGCGGUAAUACGUAGGGUGCAAGCGUUAAUCGGAAUUACUGGGCGUAAAGCGUGCGCAGGCGGUUUUGUAAGUCUGAUGUGAAAUCCCCGGGCUCAACCUGGGAAUUGCAUUGGAGACUGCAAGGCUAGAAUCUGGCAGAGGGGGGUAGAAUUCCACGUGUAGCAGUGAAAUGCGUAGAUAUGUGGAGGAACACCGAUGGCGAAGGCAGCCCCCUGGGUCAAGAUUGACGCUCAUGCACGAAAGCGUGGGGAGCAAACAGGAUUAGAUACCCUGGUAGUCCACGCCCUAAACGAUGUCUACUAGUUGUCGGGUCUUAAUUGACUUGGUAACGCAG